rnacentral:lncRNA from 1 species
CUUAGGGUGCGUUUGGUUCGCAUUAUGAAAGAUUACUAGGAAUAAAAGAUAUCCGAGAAUCUUAUUCAUAUUAAUCCUAUUACUAAGAAUGUAAAAUUCCUGUGUUUGGUUCGCACAGUAAUAUUAAUUAGUGAUGUUAUUUAAUAUUACAAAAAAUAUAUAAUUAAUUAAUUAAUUUAUUUAUUUAAUUUUAGAUAAUGUUACCAGAAGUUUCAACAUCUUUUUAGAAAAAAGAAAGAGAAAGUUAGGGAGAGAGAGAGAGCAUAAUUUAAAAAAAUAGAAAGAAAAAUAUAGUCGAAAUUAGAGGGAGUGAGAGAGUUGAAAUUUUAGAAAGAGAGGGAGAGAAAGCUUAGUUUAGAGAGAGAAAAAAAAGUUGAAUUUUAGAGAGAAAAAUAAGUUUAGAGAGAGAUAUAAGGUUAGAGUGUAAAGAAAAAUAAUAUCAAUUAGCCGGCGGGUAGGAAGAAAGAAAGAGAUUAGACAUAUUAUGAUUAUCCCAAUCCAUUAAUAUAAGGAUACCCACCCUCCCUCAAGGGAAUGAGAUUAGUACUUUGGGGUGAAUCUUAUUCCCAAGUGAAUUCAAUAUUACCAACUAGAUUACUUAGUGCGUUUAACCAAACACCGUCAUAUUUUUUUAUUCCCAUUGGAUUACUAGUAAUCUUUAAAAGAUAGCGCGAACCAAACGCACCCUUAGAG